rnacentral:rRNA from 1 species
GCCUACGGGAGGCAGCAGUGGGGAAUAUUGCACAAUGGGGGAAACCCUGAUGCAGCGACGCCGCGUGAGUGAAGAAGUAUUUCGGUAUGUAAAGCUCUAUCAGCAGGGAAGAAAAUGACGGUACCUGACCAAGAAGCCCCGGCUAACUACGUGCCAGCAGCCGCGGUAAUACGUAGGGGGCAAGCGUUAUCCGGAUUUACUGGGUGUAAAGGGAGCGUAGACGGCUGUGCAAGUCAGAAGUGAAAGCCCGGGGCUCAACCCCGGGACUGCAUUGGGAACUGUUUAUCUAGAGUGUCGGGGAGGCA